GGUACAUUUCCACAGGUGACCACCUACAAAAACCCAACAGAGCAUUUGAUACGUAUAUUUAACCAGACAAAUGCACUAACAAAUAGCCAAAAUAUAAAUAACCAACAACAAGCGCUUCCAAUGUGUUGGAAAUAUAACUCUUAAAGAAGUCGGAUCCCCACUUUAAUGCUUGAAGCCUUGAACAUAAGGCCCUUCUGCACAACUUCUACAAUAGAUAUUAAUCCUCAUUCAUGCAGUACUAUGAGACACUUCAGCAAAUAUAGAACCACAGCACAAUUUUUAAAACUUCAUAAGGAAUUCAGAUAAUGCUUUAAUGCAACUUGGUGCAUCCCAUAAGUAGCUUACAAAACUAUAUUCAUAGUAUGGUGUGUAACACACACUUAAGCACUUAAUUACAUAUAACAAACAUAAUCAGGAGAAAAUAUUAA
rnacentral:misc_RNA from 1 species